rnacentral:rRNA from 1 species
UACGUAGGGGGCAAGCGUUGUCCGGAAUCAUUGGGCGUAAAGCGCGUGUAGGCGGCUCGAUAAGUCUGCUGUAAAAGUCCAGGGCUCAACCCUGGAAAGCCGGUGGAAACUGUCGAGCUAGAGUCCGGAAGAGGCGAGUGGAAUUCCUGGUGUAGCGGUGAAAUGCGCAGAUAUCGGGAAGAACACCCGUGGCGAAGGCGGCUCUCUGGGACGGUACUGACGCUGAGACGCGAAAGCGUGGGGAGCGAACAGG